rnacentral:rRNA from 1 species
GCCGGGGGGGGCGAGCGUUAUUCGGAAGCAUUGGGCGUAAAGAGCGUGUAGGCGGCCGGUUAAGUCAGGUGUGAAAGCCCGGGGCUCAACCUCGGAAGUGCACUUGAAACUGGUCGGCUUGAGUUCGGGAGAGGGAAGCUGAAUUCCUGGUGUAGAGGUGAAAUUCGUAGAUAUCAGGAGGAACACCGGUGGCGAAGGCGGCUUCCUGGACCGAAACUGACGCUGAGGCGCGGAAGCUGGGGGAGCAAACGGG